GCAGGAGUGGUUCAGUGAUAUAAUUCUCACCUUCAAUGCUGGAGACCCGGGUUCAAUUCCUGGCUAGUGCA
rnacentral:tRNA from 1 species